GGGGAUGUGGCUCAGUGGUAGAGUGCUUGCCUAGCAAGCAUAAAGCCUUAGGUUCGAUUCCUCAGAACCA
rfam:Dipodomys ordii contig_11515, whole genome shotgun sequence.